AUUCACGACCACAUCACUCUGGGAAUGCCCAAGCUCAUUUGAUCUCAGAAACUAAGCAGGGGUGGGCCUAGUUAAUACAUGGAUGCUUGGAUGAGAGACCUCCUGGGAAUACUGGGUGCUGUAGGCU
rnacentral:rRNA from 1 species